UCCUACGGGAGGCAGCAGUGGGGAAUAUUGGACAAUGGGCGCAAGCCUGAUCCAGCCAUGCCGCGUGUGUGAAGAAGGCCUUUUGGUUGUAAAGCACUUUAAGCGAGGAGGAGGCUACUUGGAUUAAUACUCUAGGAUAGUGGACGUUACUCGCAGAAUAAGCACCGGCUAACUCUGUGCCAGCAGCCGCGGUAAUACAGAGGGUGCGAGCGUUAAUCGGAUUUACUGGGCGUAAAGCGUGCGUAGGCGGCUUCUUAAGUCGGAUGUGAAAUCCCUGAGCUUAACUUAGGAAUUGCAUUCGAUACUGGGAAGCUAGAGUAUGGGAGAGGAUGGUAGAAUUCCAGGUGUAGCAGUGAAAUGCGUAGAGAUCUGGAGGAAUACCGAUGGCGAAGGCAGCCAUCUGGCCUAAUACUGACGCUGAGGUACGAAAGCAUGGGGAGCAAACAGGAUUAGAUACCCUGGUAGUCCAUGCCGUAAACGAUGUCUACUAGCCGUUGGGGCCUUUGAGGCUUUAGUGGCGCAGCUAACGCGAUAAGUAGACCGCCUGGGGAGUACGGUCGCAAGACUAAAACUCAAAUGAAUUGACGGA
rnacentral:rRNA from 1 species